rnacentral:rRNA from 1 species
GAUGAACGCUGGCGGCGUGCCUAAUACAUGCAAGUCGAGCGAACAGACGAGGAGCUUGCUCCUCUGACGUUAGCGGCUGACGGGUGAGUAACACGUGGAUAACCUACCUCUAAGACUGGGAUAACUUCGGGAAACCGGCUCCAAUACCGCCUAAUAUAUUGAACCGCUUGGUUCAAUAGUGAAAGACGGUUUUCCCGUCCCUUAUAGCUGGAUCCGCGCCGCAUUAGCUAGUUGGUAAGGUAACGGCUUACCAAGGCAACGAUGCGUAGCCGACCUGAGAGGGUGAUCGGCCACACUGGAACUGAGACACGGUCCAGGCUCCUACGGGAGGCAGCAGUAGGGAAUCUUCCGCAAUGGGCGAAAGCUUGACGGAGCACCGCCGCGUGAGUGAUGAAGGUCUUCGGAUCGUAAAACUCUGUUAUUGGGGAAGAACAAGUGUGUAAGUAACUAUGCACGUCUUGACGGUACCUAAUCAGAAAGCCACGGCUCACUACGUG